GUGAGGUAACGGCUCACCAAGGCAUCGACGGGUAGCUGGUCUGAGAGGAUGAUCAGCCACACUGGGACUGAGACACGGCCCAGACUCCUACGGGAGGCAGCAGUGGGGAAUAUUGCACAAUGGGCGCAAGCCUGAUGCAGCGAUGCCGCGUGCGGGAUGAAGGCCCUAGGGUUGUAAACCGCUUUCAGUAGGGAAGAAAAUGACGGUACCUACAGAAGAAGGUGCGGCCAACUACGUGCCAGCAGCCGCGGUGACCCGUAGGCACCAAGCGUUGUCCGGAUUUAUUGGGCGUAAAGAGCUCGUAGGCGGUUCAGUUAGUCGGGUGUGAAAACUCUGGGCUCAACCCAGAGACGCCACCCGAUACUGCUGUGACUUGAGUACGGUAGGGGAGUGGGGAAUUCCUGGUGUAGCGGUGAAAUGCGCAGAUAUCAGGAGGAACACCAGUGGCGAAGGCGCCACUCUGGGCCGUAACUGACGCUGAGGAGCGAAAGCAUGGGUAGCAAACAGGAUUAGAUACCCUGGUAGUCCAUGCCGUAAACGUUGGGCACUAGGUGUGGGUCUCAACCAACGAGAUCCGCGCCGUCGCUAACGCAUUAAGUG
rnacentral:rRNA from 1 species